rnacentral:tRNA from 1 species
GCCCGGGUGGCUCAGUCGGUUGAGCGUCCGACUUUGGCUCAGGUCAUGAUCUCACAGUUCGUGGGUUCGAGCCCCGCGUCGGGCU